AAGGCUGAACCAGUCGAAGAUACCAGCUGGCUGCAACUGUUUAUUAAAAACACAGCACUCUGCAAACACGAAAGUGGACGUAUAGGGUGUGAUGCCUGCCCGGUGCUGGAAGGUUAAUUGAUGGUGUAAUCGAAAGAGAAGCUCCUGAUCGAAGCCCCAGUAAACGGCGGCCGUAACUAUAACGGUCCUAAGGUAGCGAAAUUCCUUGUCGGGUAAGUUCCGACCUGCACGAAUGGCAUAAUGAUGGCCAGGCUG
rnacentral:rRNA from 1 species